rnacentral:rRNA from 1 species
UUGGAGGGCAAGUCUGGUGCCAGCAGCCGCGGUAAUUCCAGCUCCAAUAGCGUAUAUUAAAGUUGUUGCAGUUAAAAAGCCCGUAGUUGAAUUUCGAGAUCAAAUUGUUGGUCGUGCCUUGGUACGUACUGGCAUUAUUGAUUUCUCCCUUCUGAAGAACCACGAUGUCAUUAAUUUGGUGUCAUGGGGAAUCAGGACUGUUACUUUGAAAAAAUUAGAGUGUUUAAAGCAGGCUAACGCUUGAAUACAUUAGCAUGGAAUAAUGAAAUAGGACGUUUGAUUCUAUUUUGUUGGUUUCUAGGAUCGACGUAAUGAUUAAUAGGGAUAGUUGGGGGCAUUAGUAUUCAAUUGUCAGAGGUGAAAUUCUUGGAUUUAUUGAAGACUAACUACUGCGAAAGCAUUUGCCAAGGAUGUUUUCAUUAAUCAAGAACGAAAGUUAGGGGAUCGAAGACGAUCAGAUACCGUCGUAGUCUUAACCAUAAACUAUGCCAACUAGGGAUCGGAUGAUGUAAUUUUUAAUGACUCAUUCGGCC